ensembl:lncRNA
UGUGCAAUGGUAUUAGAAAUAACCUUAUCCCCUCUCACAUCUAGUAUUUUUAAUGAAUCCUUUAACAACUGGUAUCUAGGUAUUUCUGAGGUGCUGUCCAUCAGCUGGAUGUUCACAGUUCCUCCCAAAGCUCCAUAACACUGAGCUCCAUCCUGUCUGCCAUCACAACUGAACACAGUUAUGUUCCCCUUGGGAAGCACCUUCAAAAACUUCAUUUCACGGCCACUAGCAUUAGUCAUCACUUGGAUAUACACAGUUCCUUUAAGAAGAGGAGAGCAUGGACAUGUGUUCUUGGUAAGAUUACAUGUGGUCUCAUCAACUGGAAAGAAAGCUGGAAAAGAUGCAUUCAAAAGAUUGUGAGUUUAAAUUAUUCACACUCCAAAUGUACAUUUUUGGCAUCAUUUUGAGGACAAUCUUACCAUGAGUUCCUGCUACUACUAGCAAAAGGAUUAGAAACUGCUCCAUGAUCCUUAUUCAUCCACGCUUUGGUUUGAAUCUUGAAAAGUAAAUUUAAAAAAAUGCACUUUAAAAAUGAAAUGAAAUUAUGAGCAAAUCUGGCUAUAAAUCUGCUGGGACCUUUAGUUCACACUGAAACAGUAAAUGGGUGAUGAUGUAGACACAGUAUUUUUGUAAAAAGAAUAAAAUAAGCUAAACUGUCUUACUUCUCCUUCUCAUUUUCCUCUCCCUGUUUUAAUUGUACUUGCAAAACUGAGUCUAGACAACACUGUAUCUGUUGUGGCCAUUUUUGUUGAAUGUUUAUAAAAUGCAAUUUGUAUUCAUUUUUGUUUUUUCUUUAAAGGUGUAAGAAUAUACUGACCUGGUUUUGUUAUGUAAAUUUGUAAUAAAUUUUAUUGGAGAAGCUUUUGGAAAGCUUUUGGUUUAUUAGCUUAUGGACCCUCCCAUUAAUCAAGAGAUUAAGAGCACCCUGGAUGGGUGUGGUAAAGAGGUUUUUUGUUUGCCAAAUGUCAGAUGGGAAGACGGGAGGGUUAGAAAAUGAUUUUUGGAACACUUUUGAAGUUGUUAAAGCAAAUUAAGUUAACUUUCAUUUAAUUUUAAGUUUUAAGAAGUUAUUUGGCUGAUUUCUGUUUGUAAUUUUCCACGA